GACAUUACAUUAUUUUAUAGAAGUUUCUCUCUAUAUUUUUGUCUUGAAAAACUUAACCUCAAAGGCAUUUCGACGUGAGAUAACCUCACUAUAUUCAAUAGUUUAUUAUUAUUUUCAAGUAAAUGUUUAGUUUGCCGCAAACUUAAUAUUUUAUUCAAACUAAACUCUACACUUUCUGCAAUAUGUUUUAAAUAAUGGUAACUUGUAAUUUAAACAGGCAGGCAAGGAGGCAAGAUGUUCUUUCUCAAGUACAGUAACUUGAGUUAUUAACUUAGUGGUGUUUCAAAAAAGAUACACUUGGAAUUAAUUAUCAAUUCUUUAGUGUUAUAUAUUAGAUUUCUUAUCUAAUACAACUUUUAUUUGAAACUAAAACUAAUAAUAUUGAGUAAGUUAAAGCUUAUAAAUGGAUGCAUGCCCAGUUUUAGCUGCAUUGGGAAAUCCCCUCUACGAUAUGAGUGUUCAAGUAGAAAAUGACUAUUUUAUUGAAAAGUAUGGAUUGAAUCGUGAUGGACAGCUGGAAAUAGACUCUACCACCUUGGAAGUUAUUUCUUCCGAUAUAAAAAAGAAAGAAUUGUCAUUUAGCAGCAGUCCUGGAGGUACCUCUCAAAACACACUCCGUGUCUACCAAUGGCUCACUGACCAACCGUUCAAAACUGUUAUCUUUGGCUCAGUGGGAGAUGAUGAAAAUGGCAUACUAUUGAAAGGCAAAGUCGAAGACGAUUCUGUUGUUACCAGCGGUUCAUUUGUGAGCCCAAACCACCAACUUCAUGUACCACCCCUUUGGUUCCACAACUUUAUGUAACACCGCAUCAAGACACCCGUUCAGAUGACAGGUCUAGGGACGUAAGAUGUCGCCGUCAAGCCAAAUUCAACCGGUAAAAGUUCACCGCCAAAAACAAGGUACGCCAAAAACCCUGGAAAACCAACUGGAACCACGAUUUGUUUUAUAAAUGGAGUAAUAAGAACACUGAUUGCCCACUUGGGAGCAGCCAAAUCAUACCCUAUCAAUGCGUUCUCAGUGCCUGAAAAUCUAUCAGUUUUUUCAAGAUUACAAGUUCUCUACAUAGAGGGAUUCUUUGUUAUGCAUGACAUUGAGACGGCAGUGAAAGCUGUAUCAUUGUGUUAUCAAAAUGGAAUUUCGGUAUCUUUUAAUUUGAGUGGUGUUUAUAUAUUAGAGAAAUUCCACAAAGAAGUACUCUACUUGGUUACGCUAGCUGAUAUUGUAGUUGGUAAUAGGUCAGAAUACACUGCAGCUGCAAAAUAUUUCAACUGUAAAAAUAAUGAGGAUCUGAAACAAGUCAUGAGUGAUCUGAAAUCUUUAAAAAUCCCUUCUCCAAUCCAGGAGAAGUCUGAUUACCCGUUAGACAUUAAAAGAGAACUUAGGAACAAAAUAGUAGCUGAAAAUAGAAAGAUAUUACUAAUGACUCAAGAUAAGGAUCCUGUAAUGUGUCUGUACGGCAAAGAUACAUUUUUGAAAGUAGAAGUUGAUAGAAUUGAGGAAAGUCUUAUCAAAGAUACAACAGCCGCUGGAGAUUCAUUUUUUGCUGGAUUCAUAGCUGGAAUAAUUGCUGAAAAGAGUAUUGCAGAUAGCAUUGAAUUAGGGAAUCGAACUGCUAGAAUGAUUAUUCAGCAAAUUGGAUGUACUUUGCCUAGAAAGAAUUCGGAGUAUGAGUUAAGAGUUUAGUGACUACAUUUCAUACAUGAGAAAUCUUGUAUUUGGGAAUCUCAUAGAAAGAAACUUUUAUUACGAGCAAUUAUUAUGAAUUAGUGCAAUAAAUUUACCCUAUUGGGAUUAUUUUGAUGUUAAAUAAAUGGAUCUGAUCAAGAAAA